rnacentral:rRNA from 1 species
UACGUAGGAUGCAAGCGUUGUCCGGAAUUAUUGGGCGUAAAGCGCACGUAGGCGGUUUCUUAAGUUUGGUCUUAAAGACCGGGGCUCAACCCCGGGAAUGGAUCGAAAACUGGGAGACUGGAGGACGUCAGAGGAAAGUGGAAUUCCGAGUGUAGCGGUGAAAUGCGUAGAUAUUCGGAGGAACACCAGUGGCGAAAGCGACUUUCUGGGACGUUCCUGACGCUGAGGUUCGAAAGCUCGGGGAGCAAACAGG